GAGUGAACGCUGGCGGUAGGCCUAACACAUGCAAGUCGAACGGCAGCACAGUAAGAGCUUGCUCUUACGGGUGGCGAGUGGCGGACGGGUGAGGAAUACAUCGGAAUCUACUUUUUCGUGGGGGAUAACGUAGGGAAACUUACGCUAAUACCGCAUACGACCUACGGGUGAAAGCAGGGGAUCUUCGGACCUUGCGCGAUUGAAUGAGCCGAUGUCGGAUUAGCUAGUUGGCGGGGUAAAGGCCCACCAAGGCGACGAUCCGUAGCUGGUCUGAGAGGAUGAUCAGCCACACUGGAACUGAGACACGGUCCAGACUCCUACGGGAGGCAGCAGUGGGGAAUAUUGGACAAUGGGCGCAAGCCUGAUCCAGCCAUGCCGCGUGGGUGAAGAAGGCCUUCGGGUUGUAAAGCCCUUUUGUUGGGAAAGAAAAGCAGCAGGUUAAUACCCCGCUGUUCUGACGGUACCCAAAGAAUAAGCACCGGCUAACUUCGUG
rnacentral:rRNA from 1 species